AAAAGUUUAAUUUUAGCUUUAGUAUUUACUUAAUCUUUACUUUUUAUGUAAGUCUUUGCUUGUUUAUUUUAAAUAAUAGUUUGUGGUAGCAGUGAUUAAUUUUAAUUUAUUUAGUGAUCUAAGAUUUAGGAAUAGAUUUAUGUUCUAACUUAAUUUGUGCCAGCAGUUGCGGUUAUACAAAUAGGGCUUGUAAAUAUUUUUGGUUAGUAGUUAAAAUUUAAUUUAUUAAAGUAAAUUAUUAUUAUUAUUAGGUGAAAUUUCUAUUUUAAUUUUUUCUUUUUAAUUUAAGCUAUUAAACUUAGUCUGAAAACUAGGAUUAGAUACCCUAUUAUUUUUAGUGUAAAUUUUAAUACCGGGUUAGUAUUAGUUAUGUUCUUGAAAACAAAAGGAUUUGGCGGUAUUUUAGUCUUUUCAGAGGAACCUGCCCUGUAAUUGAUAAUCCACGAUUAGUUAAACUUUAGUUUUGUUUGUAUAUCGCCGUGGUUGAUUUUUUUAGAAAAAGGAUAAUGGUCAGAAUUCUUUAUUAAGAAGGAAGUCAGGUCAAGAUGCAGCUUACUAGAGUAGAGGUGGGUUACAAUAAAUUUAUUUAAAUGGUUAAAGUUUUUAAAAUAUUUUAUAAAGUGGAUUUGAAAGUAAAUUUUUAAUUUUUUAAGAGUUGAGUUAGCUCUAAAAUAUGUACAUAUCGCCCGUCACUUCCAUAAAAAUGGAAUAAGUCGUAACAAAGUAGAUGUACUGGAAAGUGUAUCUAGAAAGAC
rnacentral:ncRNA from 1 species